CAGCCGCCACGGGAAUACAGAGGGUGCGAGCGUUAAUCGGAUUUACUGGGCGUAAAGCGUGCGUAGGCGGCUUCUUAAGUCGGAUGUGAAAUCCCUGAGCUUAACUUAGGAAUUGCAUUCGAUACUGGGAAGCUAGAGUAUGGGAGAGGAUGGUAGAAUUCCAGGUGUAGCGGUGAAAUGCGUAGAGAUCUGGAGGAAUACCGAUGGCGAAGGCAGCCAUCUGGUUUAAUACUGACGCUGAGGUACGAAAGCAUGGGGAGCAAACAGGAUUAGAUACCCCUGUAGUCCCUGUCUCUUAUAC
rnacentral:rRNA from 1 species